AAGAAAGAAGGAAUAUUAUAUUAGCGGCAUUUUUGUAGCCAUUAUAUAUGGUUUCGAUGGCAUAAUUAAUCAGUAUCAACUUACCAGUUUUUAACGGAAGGACAGAAAGAAGAGCACACGGCACACAGACCGCAAUCAUGAUCAUUUUCAAGUAGAAUCUCAAACUGCCGUACAUCUUCGAAAACUUCGUUAGUCGUAAGGGAUCAAAGGAUGAUGUCCGUGCUGCGGAAAAUAGAUGAGAAGCGGCUAUUUCAACAACCACCGUGUGUAUUCUGUGCGGCUAAAGCAGUCACCUAAUGAAUUAUUGAGUACCAGGAAUGUUAGCGGUAAACAGGAUUGCGGCUAUGAAUGAUUCUCUAAUGUCUAUAUUAGAGAUGAAUUUGAUAAUUUAUCCUCAUAAUAUGCAAUCCGCUUUUAAGUGGAAAUCAUAAUUAACAAUUUCUGUUUGAUUAAAUAUGAAGAGCAGAUAAAUCGAUACGCUUAAAUCAA